AGCGAACGCUGGCGGCAGGCCUAAUACAUGCAAGUCGAACGGCUCUUCGGAGCAGUGGCGGACGGGUGAGUAACGCGUGGGAAUGUGCCCUUUGGUACGGGAACAACACAGGGAAACUUGUGCUAAUACCGUAUGUGCCCUUCGGGGGAAAGAUUUAUCGCCAUUGGAGCAGCCCGCGUUGGAUUAGGUAGUUGGUGAGGUAAAGGCUCACCAAGCCUACGAUCCAUAGCUGGUCUGAGAGGAUGACCAGCCACACUGGGACUGAGACACGGCCCAGACUCCUACGGGAGGCAGCAGUAGGGAAUCUUGCGCAAUGGGCGAAAGCCUGACGCAGCCAUGCCGCGUGUAUGAUGAAGGUCUUAGGAUUGUAAAAUACUUUCACCGGGAAGAUAAUGACGGUACCCGGAGAAGAAGCCCGGCUAACUUCGUGCCAGCAGCCGCGGUAAU
rnacentral:rRNA from 1 species